rnacentral:rRNA from 1 species
AGAGUUUGAUCAUGGCUCAGAUUGAACGCUGCGGCAUGCUCUACACAUGCAAGUCGAGCGGGGUAUGGGGGCAACCUCAUAUUCAGCGGCGGACGGGUGAGUAAUGCAUCGGAACGUAUCCCGUAGUGGGGGACAACCCAGCGAAAGCUGGGCUAAUACCGCAUAUGCUCUGAGGAGGAAAGCAGGGGACCUGGAAGGGCCUUGUGCUAUGGGAGCGGCCGAUGUCCGAUUAGCUGGUUGGUGGGGUAAAGGCUUACCAAGGCGACGAUCGGUAGCUGGUCUGAGAGGAUGAUCAGCCACACUGGGACUGAGACACGGCCCAGACUCCUACGGGAGGCAGCAGUGGGGAAUUUUGGACAAUGGGGGCAACCCUGAUCCAGCCAUGCCGCGUGCGGGAAGAAGGCCUUCGGAGUUGUAAACCGCUUUUGGCCGGGAAGAAAAGGCUCCGGCUAAUACCCGGGGCUAUUGACGGAACCGGCAGGUA